rnacentral:misc_RNA from 1 species
CCGAGAGUCCCUCCUCGGACGCACUAACCCUGCGGCCGUCGAAGGGGCUAUUCUCACCACCCCAAUUUAUACGUACCUCUCGUUCUUCCUCGGCAGGGUGACCUGCCGGCGGAACCUCAACACGAACCCUUUUGCAUCUAGCAUUACCUGUUCUGAUACCCUAAAUCGUUACAACUUUCAACAAUGGAUCUCUUGGCUCUGGCAUCGAUGAAGAACGCAGCGAAAUGCGAUAAGUAGUGUGAAUUGCAGAAUUCAGUGAAUCAUCGAAUCUUUGAACGCACAUUGCGCCCCUUGGUAUUCCAUGGGGCAUGCCUGUUCGAGCGUCAUCUACACCCUCAAGCUUUGCUUGGUGAUGGGCGUCUGUCCCGCCUCCGCGCGCGGACUCGCCCCAAAGUCAUUGGCAGCGGUCCUGUCCGCCUCUCGCGCAGCACAAGUGCGCUUCUCGAGGCGUCGGGGUCCGCAUCCAUCAAGCCUAAUUACCAUUU